AAUGAUGUAGUGUGUGUGUUCACAGCAUGAGCAUCCAGCAGCUCGCAGUUAUCAAGUUAGGCUCCCAGAAAAGGCAUGCCCAGUUAGUGAUUGUGGAAGGAUCGAAUUAAGCAACUUGCCUAGCAUUACUAGCAACUCUGUGGUAGAGCCCAGGAUACGGACAGAUUCUGCACUGCAGCAUUCAAGUGCCAUAACCUUGACAGAAUCUUUUUCUCUUGCAGUCUCCUGCUUUUCUUUCAACUUCUACAGCAAAUGAGAAGUAUCUGAGACUGCUGUAGCUUUAUGGAUCUAGGUUUGAGUAAGACUAUAUCCACUGUACUUGGGACUCGUCCUUUACUUCAGGUUUGAGAAAACACUUCAAGUCAAAUUCUGCUGUCUUUCCUCAGCAUGUGGGUUAGUCUCACCAACUCAGGAAUGCUACAAAAAUAGCAUAAGAAACCAGACA